rnacentral:rRNA from 1 species
CACCGAAAGAAAAAGAGUGGCGAACGGGUGAGUAACACGUGGGUAACCUGCCCAUCAGAAGGGGAUAACACUUGGAAACAGGUGCUAAUACCGUAUAACACUAUUUUCCGCAUGGAAGAAAGUUGAAAGGCGCUUUUGCGUCACUGAUGGAUGGACCCGCGGUGCAUUAGCUAGUUGGUGAGGUAACGGCUCACCAAGGCAACGAUGCAUAGCCGACCUGAGAGGGUGAUCGGCCACACUGGGACUGAGACACGGCCCAGACUCCUACGGGAGGCAGCAGUAGGGAAUCUUCGGCAAUGGACGAAAGUCUGACCGAGCAACGCCGCGUGAGUGAAGAAGGUUUUCGGAUCGUAAAACUCUGUUGUUAGAGAAGAACAAGGAUGAGAGUAAAAUGUUCAUCCCUUGACGGUAUCUAACCAGAAAGCCACGGCUAACUACGUGCCAGCAGCCGCGGUAAUACGUAGGUGGCAAGCGUUGUCCGGAUUUAUUGGGCGUAAAGCGAGCGCAGGCGGUUUCUUAAGUCUGAUGUGAAAGCC